CGCAGGCCUCUCUCCGACGUCUCGACCUGCGGUGCCUGGUCCAGAGGGAAAGAAGACUCUUCAUGUCCCAGAGAGCAUGACCUUCGGGAGAGCAGGCCUUUUGGCUGUCCACUUUGUCGCUGGAAGAGAAACAGGGAAGGGUAUAAAACUUCAGCAAUCUUCCCGAGAGGAACCUGAA